rnacentral:rRNA from 1 species
GAUGAACGCUGGCGGCGUGCCUAAUACAUGCAAGUCGAGCGAACAGACGAGGAGCUUGCUCCUCUGACGUUAGCGGCGGACGGGUGAGUAACACGUGGAUAACCUACCUAUAAGACUGGGAUAACUUCGGGAAACCGGAGCUAAUACCGGAUAAUAUAUUGAACCGCAUGGUUCAAUAGUGAAAGACGGUUUUGCUGUCACUUAUAGAUGGAUCCGCGCCGCAUUAGCUAGUUGGUAAGGUAACGGCUUACCAAGGCAACGAUGCGUAGCCGACCUGAGAGGGUGAUCGGCCACACUGGAGCUGAGACACGGUCCAGACACCUACGGGAGGCAGCAGUAGGGAAUCUUCCGCAAUGGGCGAAAGCCUGACGGAGCAACGCCGCGUGAGGGAUGAAGGUCUUCGGAUCGUAAAACUCUGUUAUUAGGGAAGAACAAAUGUGUAAGUAACUAUGCACGUCUUGACGGUACCUAAUCAGAAGGCCACGGCUAACUACGUG